rnacentral:rRNA from 1 species
AGUUUGAUCCUGGCUCAGAACGAACGCUGGCGGCGUGCUUAACACAUGCAAGUCGAACGUGAUUGGAAGCUUGCUUCCAUGAAAGUGGCGCACGGGUGAGUAACGCGUGGAUAACCUGCCCUGGUAUCCGGAAUAACAUCUCGAAAGGGGUGCUAAUACCGGAUAAGCCUACGGAGCCUUCGGUCUCCGCAGGAAAAGGUGGCCUCUAUUUAUAAGCUACCGUAUCAGGAUGGGUCCGCGUACCAUUAGCUAGUUGGUGGGGUAAUGGCCUACCAAGGCGACGAUGGUUAGCUGGUCUGAGAGGAUGAUCAGCCACACUGGAACUGAGACACGGUCCAGACUCCUACGGGAGGCAGCAGUGGGGAAUUUUGCGCAAUGGGGGAAACCCUGACGCAGCAACGCCGCGUGAGUGAUGAAGGCUUUCGGGUCGUAAAGCUCUGUCAGAGGGGAAGAAAUGGGUCUGGCUAAUAUCCAGAUUCCUUGACGGUACCCUCAAAGGAAGCACCGGCUAACUCCGUGCCAGCAGCCGCGGUAAUAC